ACCUGGCUCAGGAUGAACGCUGGCGGCGUGCUUAACACAUGCAAGUCGAACGAUGAAGCCGAAGCUUGCUUUGGUGGAUUAGUGGCGAACGGGUGAGUAACACGUGAGUAACCUGCCCCUGACUCUGGGAUAAGCCUGGGAAACUGGGUCUAAUACCGGAUAUGACCAUGGAACGCAUGUUCUGUGGUGGAAAGAUUUAUCGGUUGGGGAUGGACUCGCGGCCUAUCAGCUUGUUGGUGAGGUAAUGGCUCACCAAGGCGACGACGGGUAGCCGGCCUGAGAGGGUGACCGGCCACACUGGGACUGAGACACGGCCCAGACUCCUACGGGAGGCAGCAGUGGGGAAUAUUGCACAAUGGGCGAAAGCCUGAUGCAGCGACGCCGCGUGAGGGAUGACGGCCUUCGGGUUGUAAACCUCUUUCAGUAGGGAAGAAGCGAGAGUGACGGUACCUGCAGAAGAAGCGCCGGCUAACUACGUGCCAGCAGCCGCGGUAAUACGUAGGGCGCAAGCGUUAUCCGGAUUUAUUGGGCGUAAAGAGCUCGUAGGCGGUUUGUCGCGUCUGCCGUGAAAGUCCGAGGCUCAACCUCGGAUCUGCGGUGGGUACGGGCAGACUAGAGUGAUGUAGGGGAGACUGGAAUUCCUGGUGUAGCGGUGAAAUGCGCAGAUAUCAGGAGGAACACCGAUGGCGAAGGCAGGUCUCUGGGCAUUUACUGACGCUGAGGAGCGAAAGCAUGGGGAGCGAACAGGAUUAGAUACCCUGGUAGUCCAUGCCGUAAACGUUGGGCACUAGGUGUGGGGGACAUUCCACGUUUCCGCGCCGUAGCUAACGCAUAAG
rnacentral:rRNA from 1 species